AGCCUGGGUUCACGCUCGCGCCUCUCCCUCCACACCUCCCUGCAAGCUGAGGGAGCCAGCUCCGGCCUAGGCCAGCCCAGGAAGGGGCUCUCACAGUGCAGCGGCGGGCUGAAAGGCUCCUCAAGUGCCGCCAAAGUGGGAGCCCAGGCAGAGGAGGCGCCGAGAGCGACUGAGGGCUGCCAGCAUGCUGUCACCUCUCACUAGUUUAGGAAAAUUCUGUUGACCUAUAAUGAAGUUUACAGAUUUUUCCUCAUAUCUGUCCAGUCUACGGAUUAGAUCUUCAAAGAGAUGAAAUCCCACUAUUUUGCCCAGGCUCAUCUAUAACUUCUGAGCUCAAGACAUCCUCCUGCUUUGACCUUCCAAAGUGCUGGGAUAGGGGUUUUGUGCAAAUAUCUGCUGAGUGAACUACUUAUUUGAAAAUACAUCAUUGGUUAAUAUUCCCUUUUGCUCAUUGAAAUCUCAAAGACUACAGACAAACUACAAUAAAGCCAUGCCCUGACUGGAUGUGCCUAACAUUUGUCUGGUGCUUAAAGGAGUUGGCUGCAUGCGUGGGAUGGAGAAGGAUUCAACAUUUAAUGGCAGUUAGAAUCAAAUUUUUAACUCAAGAAGGCAGAAGGAAUCCACCUAAAUAAAUGUUGGAAAGUCACCAAAAAUAGUUCUCCAAGUCAGAAGCGGUGCAAAAGCUGCCUCAGCUCUUGGUGGAUUUUCAAUUUCUCCCAGCCAUCUCUGUUUCGCUAAAGGUUUCUGAAGACAGUGGGUAUGUGGCAAACUUCUGCAAUUCUAUAUUAAGAUAAACUGUUAGAUCAAUUAUGUGUGUCAUAUUAUCUUCCUUCUGCAGAGUUUGAGAAUUAUAUUUCUUACCUGUUUGCUUCAGGGACAACUUGUUUGGAAAAAAAAUCACCCAGGGUUAAACAUCAUAUUCUUUAGAACCCAAAAAGCAUUGAUCCAUUUAUAUCCAGCUUCAAAUACCAUGCUAGUAUUCCCAACUUAAGGGCCACCAUAUUGAUGCAUGCUAAUGUGCCAACAGUUUCAUCCACUAUUUUAUUUUAUUUAUUUAUUUAUUUAUUUGAGAUGGAGUUUUGCUCUGGUCACCCAGGCUGGAGUUCAAUGGCAUGAUCUUGGCUCACUGUCACCUCUGCCUGCUGUGUUCAAGUGAUUCUCCAGCCUCAGCCCUCCCGAGUAGCUGGAAUUAUGGGCGCCCACCACCAUGCCUGGCUAAUUUUUGUAUUUUUAGUAGAGACAGGGUUUCGCCAUGUUGGCCAGACUGAUCUCCAACUCCUGACCUCAGAUGAUUCGCUCACCUCGGCCUCCCAAAGUGCUAGAAUUACAGGCAUGAGCCACAGUGCCUGGCCUCACCCACUAAUUUUUAGACACCAUUAGUGUAAGUGUCAUCAAAAUAAAAAAGACAAAUAAUCUAUUAAUAUUAUGUUACUGUAGUUUUGUCCUCACAGACCCUCAGGUAGCUUCUGGGGACCAUCAUGGUCCCACAGACCAUUCUUUGAGAAUUGCUAUCACAGAGAAAAUAAACCUUUGACACAUCAUAACUGCACUCUAAAUAUAGGAUUUGUAUAUGCUGAAGAAUUUCAAUAAAGAUCUGGAACAGCAGC
rnacentral:lncRNA from 1 species